rnacentral:lncRNA from 1 species
UUUUUUUAAGAAACCAAAAUGAAUUAUAUUACCAUGAACAACGUAAUUGUUGAAGCACAAGGCGUGCCAUAACAAUCACGGAAAGAGCAACAUCCUGUCAAAUUACAACAUAGUCAAUCGAUACCCAUACAUGAAAACGGGCUCGACCACCAAUUAUGUGUACCAAAAUUAAAGACCACAUUACUAGCUUUUAACCACCACAAGGUAUGAGAUUUUACUUUAUCUAACAAAAGUGGCAUAGAACUUUGACGGUUUCUAAAUAACCUAUCAUUUCGUUCAUUCCAUAAAACCCAAACACACUGCAGCCAAAUCAAAUGAAAUAAGGAUCGACGGCGUUUCAAGCCUCAUGCAUAUUCAAUAAAUUGCGUAAAAUGAUCUGAAAUAGCAAGAGAAUCUACCCCUUCGACACCAAGCCAAGCCCGCACCAUAGGCCACAAUGCGCCAAAAAUUGGGCAAGACAAAAACAAAUGAGUCACAUCUUCAACAUGCCCACACCCUGUAACACAAAACCGAGCCUCCAAAGGUAGAAUUCUGCGAUCUGUCAAAUUGUAUUUUGUAGGUAAGCGAUCCCUCAAUAGCCGCCAAGCAAGGAUUGAAACUUUUAGAGAAACCUGUUUAUGCCAAAUUAACUCCAUAUUUUGAUAAACAUGAGGGUUUUCCUGUGAUGUCAACAUAUCAUACACACCACGAACAGUAUAUCCUCCAGUCUGAUCCAGUAACCACAACCACCUGUCAGUUUCUGUUUCCUGCAAAGAGAUUGUUAGUAAUAAAUCCCUACACUCCUCUACCAAAUCCUCCUUCCACAC